GAUUUUAUUACCGACAUUCUGCUUUCAUGGGUUUCCGCCUAUUUCUCUCUGGAAAGCUUGGAAAUGCGCGGACGAGAUUUCGAAAAUUUAAUAGUAAAUAUAUAGAAAGCAUCAAAAUUGCUUGCACGUCAUGACGUCAUAUAACUGUAAGAUACAACAUAUAUAUUCUCCUGUACAAAAACCCCAGUCUCACAAAAUAUGUCAACAGCGAUCUUCGCAUUUUAUACCACAAGCGCUAUAAUAAUUGAAAUACUACAGCAUGACAUGAUCACCUGCAUUUGCAUGGCGUCUUACAAAACCCAGUACUGUACAUAGCAGGUACUUAUAUAGCUAGCGUACCAACUACCAAAACGAAAAGGUUUACGGCAUAUUUCACCAGAUCAAAACAAUUCCUAAUACGAUACACUGUUAUUUCAGAGGUUAUUUCCUAUUUUAUGCCAUCGC
rnacentral:lncRNA from 1 species